UCGGGAAUUUUGGGCAAUGGGCGAAAGCCUGACCCAGCAACGCCGCGUGAAGGAUGAAGUAUUUCGGUAUGUAAACUUCGAAAGAAUAGGAAGAAUAAAUGACGGUACUAUUUAUAAGGUCCGGCUAACUACGUGCCAGCAGCCGCGGUAAUACGUAGGGACCAAGCGUUGUUCGGAUUUACUGGGCGUAAAGGGCGCGUAGGCGGCAAUUCAAGUCAUCUGUGAAAUCUCCGGGCUUAACUCGGAACGGCCAAGUGAAACUGUUAAGCUAGAGUGCAGAAGGGGCAAUCGGAAUUCUUGGUGUAGCGGUGAAAUGCGUAGAUAUCAAGAGGAACACCUGAGGUGAAGACGGGUUGCUGGGCUGACACUGACGCUGAGGCGCGAAAGCCAGGGGAGCAAACGGGAUUAGAUACCCAAGUAGUCCCUGAGCGGGCUGGCAAGGCGCAU
rnacentral:rRNA from 1 species